GGAGGGGUGGCAGAGUCUGGUUGAAUGCGCCGGUCUCGAAAACCGGUCUACCGGUUUCCCGGUAGCGUGGGUUCGAAUCCCACCCCCUCCGCCA
rnacentral:tRNA from 1 species